UCCCUAAUGGUGUAGUGGCUAACAUCGUCGUCUUUCACACGACAGCCCUGGGUUCGAUUCCCAGUUAGGGAG
rnacentral:tRNA from 1 species